rnacentral:rRNA from 1 species
AGCGAACGCUGGCGGCAGGCCUAACACAUGCAAGUCGAACGAACCUUUCGGGGUUAGUGGCGGACGGGUGAGUAACACGUGGGAACGUGCCUUUAGGUUCGGAAUAACUCAGGGAAACUUGUGCUAAUACCGAAUGUGCCCUUCGGGGGAAAGAUUUAUCGCCUUUAGAGCGGCCCGCGUCUGAUUAGCUAGUUGGUUGAGGUAAUGGCUCACCAAGGCGACGAUCAGUAGCUGGUCUGAGAGGAUGAUCAGCCACAUUGGGACUGAGACACAGCCCAAACUCCUACGGGAGGCAGCAGUGGGGAAUCUUGCGCAAUGGGCGAAAGCCUGACGCAGCCAUGCCGCGUGAAUGAUGAAGGUCUUAGGAUUAUAAAAUUCUUUCACCGGGGACGAUAAUGACGGUACCCGGAGAAGAAGCCCCGGCUAACUUCGUG